AGCGAACGCUGGCGGCAAGCUUAACACAUGCAAGUCGAACGAUGUAGCAAUACAUAGUGGCGGACGGGUGCAUAACACGUGGGAAUCUGCCUUUAGGUACGGAAUAACUCAGGGAAACUUGAGCUAAUACCGUAUAAAAUCUCCGGAUCAAAGAUUUAUCGCCUAAAGAUGAGCCCGCGUCAGAUUAGCUAGUUGGUGGGGUAACGGCCUACCAAGGCGACGAUCUGUAGCUGGUCUUAGAGGAUGAUCAGCCACACUGGGACUGAGACACGGCCCAGACUCCUACGGGAGGCAGCAGUGGGGAAUAUUGGACAAUGGGGGAAACCCUGAUCCAGCUAUGCCGCGUGAGUGAUGAAGGCCUAGGGUUGUAAAGCUCUUUUAGAUGGGAAGAUAAUGACGGUACCAUCAGAAAAAGCCCCGGCUAACUUCGUGCCAGCCGCCGCAGUAA
rnacentral:rRNA from 1 species